rnacentral:lncRNA from 1 species
CUCGUUCUCCUUCCAUGGACCACCACCGCCCAGCACCCAAUCCCAAUCCCAACUCCGCCAAGCGCCACUCCGAGGUCCUCCUCGGAAGGUACGAGCUGGGCCGCCUCCUCGGCCGCGGCACCUUCGCUAAGGUCUACCUGGCGCGCUCCCUCUCAGACGGUGGCGCCGUGGCCGUCAAGGUCCUCGACAAGCCCGAACUGGUCGACUCCGGGUUGUCCCGCAGCUUCCUCACCGAGGUUGCCGCUAUGCGCCGCCUGUCCCACCCCAACAUCCUCAAGCUCUACGAGGUCAUGGCCACCCGGUCCAAGAUCUACCUCAUCGUGGAGCACGCCCCCGGCGGUGACCUGCUCGCCCGCGUCGCCCGCCGAGGCCGCCUCCCCGAGUCCGUCGCCCGCCGCUACUUCCAGCAGCUCGUCUCCGCCCUGCACUACUGCCACGCCCGCGGCGUCGCCCACCGCGACGUCAAGCCCCAGAACCUCCUCCUCGACCGCGACGGCAACCUCAAGGUGUCCGACUUCGGCCUGGCCGCGCUGCCCGAGCAGCUCCGCGACGGUCGCCUCCACACCGCCUGUGGCACCCC